rnacentral:rRNA from 1 species
AGCGAACGCUGGCGGCAGGCCUAACACAUGCAAGUCGAACGAACCUUUCGGGGUUAGUGGCGGACGGGUGAGUAACACGUGGGAACGUGCCUUUAGGUUCGGAAUAACUCAGGGAAACUUGUGCUAAUACCGAAUGUGCCCUUCGGGGGAAAGAUUUAUCGCCUUUAGAGCGGCCCGCGUCUGAUUAGCUAGUUGGUUGAGGUAAUGGCUCACCAAGGCGACGAUCAGUAGCUGGUCUGAGAGGAUGAUCAGCCACAUUGGGACUGAGACACGGCCCAAACUCCUACGGGAGGCAGCAGUGGGGAAUCUUGCGCAAUGGGCGAAAGCCUGACGCAGCCAUGCCGCGUGAAUGAUGAAGGUCUUAGGAUUGUAAAAUUCUUUAACCGGGGACGAUAAUGACGGUACCCGGAGAAGAAGCCCCGGCUAACUUCGUG